UCACUAUAAAUGUCAUCUCUGCAAUUGCUUCUUCAACCUUAAUUAUCACUGACAUUCAGGUUAUGCAUUAUGCACUAAUCACUACUUUGAGCUCGACAGAUCCCAGAUCCAAUCACCUUGCGAAGUAAUUCCCACUGAGCUGAAUCAAAUUGGUGACAACAACUGCUGAAGAACCACUCGGAUCUGUACUUCAUCAAAGCAUCUUCAACAAGACGCAUCAAAUCAAGAACAUAACUCUCCUUUCACAUCAUCUACACACCGUUGUCUCCAUUGCUAUUUUUCAGAAGAUUUCCCUAUCUUCUUGAAUUCACCUGAAGCCCUCCUUCUGUAAGGUACGGUUGUGAAUGACUUUGUGAAGCUUUCCUACUUUUCUUCUUCGACUUGCAGUUCUCAGCUUUGCUCUUCUUUUCUUUAGCCUUACACUUCUCUUUUUUUUUGUGCAUGCUCUUCUUCAUUUGCCUUGAGUCCACUGAAGGUUGCUCCCUCUUGUCUUGAGCUCUGGUCCGCUCAAGGUUUCCACAACUUCCAUGGACUCCACUUCCAUCUUCUUCUUAUGGCUUACUCCUUCUUUUCUCUUCUUUUUCAGUCUUUCUCAGACUGUUCUCACUUCGUGGACUCUUCUUUCUCCAAGACAUCUUCUCCUAGUGGCCUUGCCUUUUUUCUUUUUUUAUUUUGCAGGCUCCAAGGAUACUCAAGCUCUGAUACCAUGUUAUACUUCUGACCUCAUUUUCACUUUGGAGGUGCAGCGCGUGUAUUUCAGAAGAAGAAAGGCUGAUGACAAGGCAUAUAAGGAUGAGUCACGUACGUGUGGAGAGGAGAACCAGAAGAUGACAAAGGACUCAACACGUGAGACGGGUUAAGGGUUUGUUAGCAUCACAUGGUGUCUUUACAUAAAGAGGAGAAGCAUCACAAAGGGGCAUGAUGAAUGUUGUGAGGGAUUAGUCGCUGUGAGACUAACGUAUGGGGAAGGAAGAUGCGAAGGUAUGCUGAGGAUCUGACUUCAUCUUUCACUUGUUCAAUCUAUCACUUUGUAAUCUGAGAGUUGAGAGUUCCUUUUAUUAAGAGAUAUUGAGCUUUGUGAUCAAACAUUGGUUCAUUAAUGGAGGUUUGAUAUGGAGUUCAAAAGGUUAA